GAAUUAGUAGUUAAGUGGUUAAGAUAUAGCUCUUUUAAUGCUAUAUACGCGGGUUUAAACCCCGCCUAGUCUG
rnacentral:tRNA from 1 species